GAUCCUGGCUCAGAUUGAACGCCGGCGGCAGGCUUAACACAUGCAAGUCGAACGGUAACAUAAAGAAGCUUGCUUCUUUGAUGACGAGUGGCGGACGGGUGAGUAAUGCUUGGGAAUCUAGCUUAUGGAGGGGGAUAACUACGGGAAACUGUAGCUAAUACCGCGUAGAAUCGGAAGAUGAAAGUGUGGGACCUUCGGGCCACAUGCCAUAGGAUGAGCCCAAGUGGGAUUAGGUAGUUGGUGAGGUAAAGG
rnacentral:rRNA from 1 species